ACCACUGAGAUCGGAGCCGAGCGACGGUCUUGACGAAAACACACCGACCGCAGACUGCGAACCAUUCCGGGCAGAGGGACUGCGGAACCAACGGGGGGACAACCGCGCCAUGUCGUCGCUGAAGUUGGACCACGGUGUUCGGCCUUGACGGGAGACGUUAGACGCGGGAAGUAGGUUUGACGGCAACGCGCGCGGUAUCACUUGUUAGAUAGAAACAUACAUACAGAGAGAGGAGGCGGAGGAGGAGGAGGAGGGGGCCGAGGUGGACUCUCCCUCCCUCCCUCGGUUUGAGCCAGUCCGCCCGAUGGAGGCACCCGGGACCCUCGCAGCGAGCUCCAGGCCCGGUAUGUCACCUGUGAGGCGCCGCCGCCACCCCGCCGGAGGUCGUGGGUGAAGGUGGAGGAGAAGCACCGCCCGCGCACAUCUGUCCUCAACUUUGGCCGACAACUUGUGCUCCCGAGCCCGUGUGCUACGAGAAAAAGUUCGCAGGUCAGCUCCAGCCAUGACCGACAUAGAUAUCACUUAACCCGGAGGUCAGUCACCUUCUCAGGUCGCCGGGUACAGGUGAACCGCGCACUACUUUGACAUUUUCUCUGCUUCACAUUUCUCCAUCCGCGGCUCAUCCGGAUCCAGACUUAUUGGAUUUUUUUUUUAUCUUAUUUGUUAAUUUGUACAAAUCAAUCAUGUCACUCAAAGACAAUCCCUGCCGGAAAUUUCAAGCCAACAUAUUCAACAAGAGCAAAUGCCAGAACUGCUUCAAGCCCAGAGAAUCCCAUCUGCUCAACGAUGAGGACUUCAAUCAGGCCAAACCCAUAUAUGGAGGAUGGUUGCUGCUGGCACCUGAGGGAACAAACUUCGACAAUCCCUUACACAGAUCUCGAAAAUGGCAAAGGAGGUUCUUCAUCCUCUACGAGCAUGGCUUACUUCGCUAUGCUCUGGACGAAAUGCCCAGCACUCUACCCCAGGGUACAAUCAAUAUGAACCAGUGCAGUGACGUCAUAAAUGGCGAGGCGAGGACUGGCCAGAAGAACUCGCUGUGCAUCCUGACCUCUGACAAAGAGCACUUCAUACGUGCGGAAUGCAAAGAAAUCAUCAACGGGUGGCAGGAGGCUCUGACUGUGUACCCCAGGACCAACAAACAGAACCAGAAGAAGAAACGAAAAGUCGAUCCCCCGACUCACCAGGGUGGAGUAACUCCAAGCCAGUUUUUUUCCACUGGAGACAUGAAUGGACACCCAGAGCCAGGCCCAGCCAAGGUGACAGUGACCAGCAGCAGCAGUGGCGGCGGCAGCAUCUCGUGCCUGCCCAGCAGCAUUGCCGGUGCCGAGCGCGUCCCAAUGAGCCGUGCGACACUGUGGCAGGAGGAGAGUCGCUGGAGCCGGGCCACCAUCCCCUGCAGCCGCAGUGCCUCCUGUCUCAGCCAGCUGAGCCAGAGCCAACCAGACUCCAGUAUCACAACUCAAGACGACGGUGGCACCAUGAGCACUGGGCGCAAAGUACGUGUGGAGAGCGGCUACUUUUCCUUGGAAAAGACCAAGUUGGAGCCUUCUCCAUAUUCUGCACAGCCCUCCCAGUCCCCACAGCCGCCUCAGCACCUGCCCUUGUCCUCCUCGGCAUCAUCCUCCUCUUUAGGAGCUCCCAGUCCCAGGUACAAGUCUGAGUCAGAACCUCAAUCUUCCCCCUGUCAACCCUCCCAAGACCCCCUCCCUUCUCCAGGUGCACUCGUCUCCCCCAGCUACUCCACCAUCAGUUCCUCCCAGAGCUCGCUGGACUCCGAUCCCAGCGUCACGUCGCCCACCUGGGAGGGAUGCGGUGGUGGUGGUGGUGGAGGGAGCACUAGUAACGUCGGUAAUGGAGGAGGCAGAGUGGGCUGCUCUGGCAGGGAGUACGCAACGCUGUCGGACGUGCCACGGGCUCGCAGACUGAGCUACCGGGAAGCGUUCCGUUCAGAGAAAAAGCGCCAAGAGCUGAGAGCACGGACAAGGAGUCCUGGUAGAGAGGAGGUGGCUCGGCUGUUCGGGGAGGAGCGCAGGCGUCCACAAAUCAUCGGGAGGUUUCGGGAGGGUCAGCAUGUAGAACAUAUGGAAACCAGCAGCUCCAGUGAGCCCUCCACUAACACCGCGCUAAUCCAGAGACAAGGUCGCAGCGAGAGACGCUGUCUGGCCAACAAACAUGAGAAUUCACUGGAUGCAGGAACAGACCGUUCAGCUCCCAGUUUGACCAGCCCCACUUUUUCCAACCUAAGAAGAGCAAAGUCACUGGACCGCAGAGUGACAGAGUCUUCAAUGACGCCAGAUCUGCUGAACUUUAAAAAAGGAUGGAUGACAAAGCUGUAUGAGGACGGAAUGUGGAAGAAACACUGGUUUGUACUAACAGACCAGAGUCUGAGGUACUACAAGGACUCGAUAGCUGAGGAGGCUUCCGAACUGGAUGGGGAGAUCGACCUUUCCACAUGCUGCGACGUCAAAGAGUUCCCGGUUCAGAGAAACUACGGCUUCCAAAUCCAGUGCACAGAGGGAGCGUGCACCCUGUCAGCCAUGACCUCUGGAAUCCGCCGCAACUGGAUUCAGGCCAUUAUGAAGAAUGUGCGACCCACUAUUGCCCCCGACGUCACCCGGAAAAACAUCUCUUUGAAACUAUCCGUUCUGAAGCCCAGAUCUCUCCCUGAUGAGAAGAUAAAAGCCCAAGUGAUGUUGGAGCCCUGUCCGCAGGCCACCCGUGAGCCAAGCCCCGUUCGUGAGGCCCCCAGGUCUGAUGUCAACAGACAGCCAGCUGGCAACCACGUCUCAGUCCCUCCCUCUGAGCUGCGUAAAAGCCGAGUUCGUGAACGCAGACCAGAGGGCCGCUCCAAGACUUACGACUGGUCUGAGUUCAAGAUGGAGCAGACAGAAAAGCCUGUGAAGGAGCGAGCCGACACCGUCGAUCUCAACUCAUCGUUCUCCACAACCUCCUCUUAUUGCUCUCCCUCCUCUUCAGCUUCCUCUUUAGCGUCCUCUCCGGUCUCUACCUCCUCAGUAUCAGGGGCUCAUCCACCCUUUAUGACAGAAGAAGCAGAGAAGGGGAACUUCAGGAGGGGCGCCCCUCCACACAGCACUACUAGUCCAACCCACAUGCCAAAUACUGUUACUGCUACCAUGACUUCCACACUUAAUACAACGCAAACAGUACAGCCAUCAACACCUGAAAGCCAAGUGCAAGGGACCAUGGAAGUGGACCACCCUACAGCCAUGCACCCUGCUAGUGAGGAUAAGAAGGACAACAGAACCUCAGGUGUCCAUAAAGAGAUUGAGCAGCGAUGGCAUCAGGUGGAGACGACACCUUUGAGGGAAGAGAAGCAAGUGCCGAUCGCCACGGCUGCAGCAAGCUUGGUUGAUUCUGAAAGGUUGCCUGCCGAUGAGCUCACUGCACUACUAGACAAAGAGUUGGGACAGAAGCAGAAGGAGCUGGACCAACUACAGAAGCAGAACAACCUUUUAAAAGAACAGCUGGAUGAUGCGCUAGGGAGAGAACACAGUGCCAGAGAGGGCUAUGUGCUGCAGAGUGCAACACCCCCUUCCUCUUCACCGCACAGAGUGCCAUGGCAACGCUUGCACAAGCUUAAUCAAGAUUUGCAGAGCGAAUUGGAGGCCCAAAGGCGCAAGCAGGACCUUGCUCAGCAGCAGAUUCGGACAUUAAAGAGAAGCUACACCGAUGCCCAGGACGCUGUAGACCGCCACGAGGCUGACAUUCAGGCUCUGCAGGGUAAACUAGCUUGUGCAAUGGCUGAAAUCUUGGCCAGUGAAGAGGCUGUGGCCCGAAUGCGCAAUGAGCUCAAGUUAGAGCAGGAGCGUUCAAAGGAACAAGAAGUAGAAAAUGGAAAAAGUGAGGCCACCCUACGUGCCCAGCUAAAGGACAGUGAGGACAAACUCCGUGAAGUAGAGGCCUGCCUCUUAGAGAGGAACCAGGCCCUCAGGCACCUCGAGCACCAGCAGGCCCUGCAACGAGACCACAUUAGAGAGGUACAGAGGUUGCAGGAGAGGCUGCAAGAGGUGACUGCUCGACUCAUUGCUACUGAGGAGGGCCAAGCUUUGAAGGAGGAGCGUCUGAGGAAGGAGCAGCAUAGCAUGCAAGAGAGUCAUGAGAGGGAAAGACAGAAUCUGUGCAGAAAAUUAACUCAGGCUGAAAUCACCCAAAAAGAGAUGGAGGACAAUCUGCUAGAGGCAGAACAGCAGGUAGAGGCUCUGUUGAGAGGAAGGUGCUCCUCCGGAGGCAAAGAUUGCAGUGAGGAAAUGUUGAAGUUACAAGAGGAACUGACUCAUAAGCUUGACAUGGUUGAGUCACUGAGGGAGAGCGUUCGGAGGCUGGAAGAAGAGAAGAGCCACCUCACUUGCCGUUGUCAGGAGCUUAUCAACCAGAUUGCAGAAGCUGAUCGUGAGGUGAAUAAGCUUCGCAAAUGUCUGGAAACUGAAGAGGCUGAGUACUACACGCUGGAGCAGUCAUAUGAUAGGGCUACCCAGGAGUUUCAGAAAAUGAGUCAGUUCCUUAGGGAAAAAGAGGAAGAGAUCCGGCAGACUAAGGAGAUGUAUGAACGGCUAGUGGAACGCAAGGAAGAGGACCUAAAAGAGGCACUUAUUAAAAUGACAGUUCUUGGCAGCAGCUUGGAGGAAACAGAACAGAAGUUGCAAGCAAAGGAGGAGCUUCUCUGUCAUAUGAGUCGGAGCCUCUUAGAAAAGGUUGAGCCCUGUAGUGCUGAAAAGGAUCUGCAAGCCAAGCUUGUGGUCGCAGAGGACCGUAUCGCGGAGCUCGAACAGCAUCUCAAUGCCCUGCAGUUGGGCUACGCUGACCUACAAAUGGAAAGACAUAAGACCCCAGAGCUGAGGAAAAAGGGAAGGGUUAAAACAUCAGCCUCCAUAUCACCAAACACAGAACUUUCUCUUUCAUUUAAUAAUACAUCCAAGUCAGAGAAAGCCCCAGAUGAUCAGGAGUCUCUAGCUAAGAGAUCAAGGAUACGUUUUUCCAGUAUUCAGUGCCAAAAAUACAUUAGCUUAGAGGGCCUGGUCACGGGCCAAGCAAGUGGUGGUCAUGUGGAGACAGGACAAAAAGAUGACCAAGAUGUAAAUCAAGACAUCGGUUUAACUGGAGGAAAUAUCUCCUCUGAUAUGCCGCAUACCAGUGACCCAGAGAAGUUUAUCUCAAUCAUACAUGCCCUCGAAACUAAACUGCUUGCCACUGAGGACAAGCUAAGGAACCUCACGCAGAAUCUAGAAGAGCAGCAAUCCACCCAAGAAGACGACAUGUCCAAGAUUGAUGUACAGAUGACAGAAACAGACCAUCACCCAGAGAAAGAGUUGAGUUGUGGGAUGCAGAGUAGUUGUCUUGCCAAUAAGCAUUAUGCCAAGGCUCUGAUGUGCGUUGAAAAGAGUCGAGAGAAAGUCAGUGUUAUUCUCACUGGAUCUCAUACUUCCACUGGUUCGCAGCUGCAUUCAUUGUCGGAGAUAGAGAGCGAUUUGUUCAAUGCAUCACUGUACAUCCAACAAGGACAAAAGACGUUGGAAGAACAAACACCAGCUGUCCAUCAGAAUCAAACCCCAGAGACUCGAGAUAGAGAAGCUCUUCAGCUCUUUGCCAAAACCUUGUCUUUUGAGGCAGUAAUUUUGAAUAAAAUGGCUUUAUCGAUACAAACGUCAAAGUCUGACAUUCUACAUGCUCUUGCAGAGAUAUGGGAAGACAUCGACAACAUUAAAAAGAGUGACAGAGAUUGCUUGGCUAUAGUUUAUGCUGAUGUCUUGACCAGGAAGCUGAUGUUAGAGAGUGCGUUCUGGCAGGAGUUGGAGAAAACUGAGGCAGAUGUUGCAAAAUGCAAAGAGGGCAGUGCGUCAGCUGAUGUAAAUGACGCCACAAUCUUUAACACCUUCAUUAAAGCAGAACUAGUUUACUCUAUUCAAAACCUUAAGCUUUGCUAUGAAGAGAAAUUCAAAAUACUGAAAAGGGAGUUGACUGAAGCUCACACGAACCUAAAUCAAAGGGAAAUGGCUCUGAAAGCGAUUAUUGAAGCUUCCAAAAGGCCUGAUUUGAAAAAUGUAAUAAAGGAAGUCAAAAAUAACUUUGGCUUUAAUCAACAACGGUUAGCUGACGUUCAACCCCCUGAACUUGCUCCUUACAUGGAGCAGAUUGAAAUGGAAGCAGCGCGAGAUCUGGCUGAGGAAAUUGUAGACAGACACUUGGCUGAAGAAAUGCCCUCUUGUGGUGUUGACUCUAUCGAUACGCUGCAAAAUGCACACGACAAUCUGGCCAAUGAGCUUCAGCGACAAGCAGCAAUCCUUCAUAAGUACGCUCAAGAGAUGGAAGGUGGUGAAACCCAUCCAGGGCUGGCUAAAAUGAUCCGGGCUCUUUUUGGGCAGCAAACCUCAGAGAAUUUCUCUAGUACCUCUGUGUGUAUGCGUGAAGCCCUAGUUCAGGCUCAGGUGGCUUAUGUGGCAUGUAGGUUACGGGCAAUGCAUGAACAGGACUUGGGUUGGUGCAAACAGACAGGUCAGAACAUGGAUGCUCUUGUCCAGCAGCAUGCCCACAAUGUCAGUGCAAUCCAAGAAAAGUUUGAAGCAUCCUUACAGGAGGAGCGCCUGAGUUUCACGCAGACAGUGGCCACUAUUGAAAUGGAGAACCAAACCCUGAGGAGUGAGAUCAGCCAACGUGUGAAUCAGCUCUCCCAGCAGCAGGAGCAACUGGCCCUCCUGGAGGAACACUACCGGAAGGACACUGAAAACCUGAAUCAGAUGCACAAGAAAGAGCUACAGCGAGCAGAGCAAGGCUGUGCUUCAACAGAGCUGGCCCUCAUUGAGACAAUGGCCGACAGCCAACAGAAGUUAGAGGUUCUCCUGGUGGACAUGGAUACCAUGAAGGAGCAGCAACAGGGUCAUGUGAAGAAACUGGAGGAGCAGUUUGAACGGAGGAUCUGUGAGCUCCAGCACAUCCACACAGAGGAGAUUGAAAAGUUACAUUCCCAGUAUGUGGAAAACAUUCAGUGUCUCAAAGAGCACCUGAAGGUCAAAAAGGGUCCUGAGGUUUCACAGUCGCUACUGUGUGAUGAGGCCAUAAUGCCAAUGGAAGAGGAGGAGCAGGGGAAGGGGGAAGAUGCUCAAAAUAAGUCCGAGGUGGCCUCAAUGGUGGUUCUCAAGGACCGGAUCCAGGAGCUGGAGACUCAGAUGAACACCAUGAGGGACGAACUGGAGAGCAAGCACCUCGAAGGAGAUGUGGCCAGCCUGAAAGAGAAAUACCAGAGAGACUUUGAAAGUCUUAAGGCCACGUGUGAACGUGGGUUCGCUGCAAUGGAAGAUACCCACCACAAGGUGAUAGAAGACAUCCAGAGGCAGCAUCAGAGGGAGAUCUGCAAACUCAUGGAAGAGCGAGAGAGACUCUUAGCUGAGGAAACUGCUGCGACAAUCGCUGCUAUUGAAGCUAUGAAAAAUGCACACAAGGAGGAGCUGGAGAAGAACCAGCGCUCCCCAGUGAGUGGACUGAACUCUGACAUCGAUGAGCUUCGCUUACAAUACGAGGAGGAGCUCCAGUCCUUCCAGAGAGAGCUGGAGGUGUUGUCCGAGCAGUACUCUCAGAAGUGUCUGGAGAACGCUCACCUGAACCAGGCGCUGGAGGCUGAGAGGCAGGCCCUCAGGCAGUGUCAGAGAGAGAACCAGGAGCUAAAUGCUCACAACCAGGAAUUGAAUAAUCGAAUGAGUGCGGAGAUCAUCCGGAUGCGCUCCUGUUACAGCGGUGAAACGGCGCUGUCACCACUUACCCAAGGCAAAGAUGUGUAUGAACUAGAGGUGUUGCUACGUAUUAAGGAGUCCGAGAUCCAGUAUCUUAAACAGGAAAUACACUCUUUGAAAGAUGAGCUGCAGUCUGCUUUAAGGGACAAGAAAUAUGCCACCGACAAAUAUAAGGGCAUCUAUACAGAGCUCAGCAUAGUGAAAGCAAAGGCUGACUGUGACAUCAGCAAACUGAAGGAGAAACUGCUCAUCGCCACGGAAGCUUUAGGCGAGAAGACGGUCGAUGGAACAGUCACAUCUGGAUACGGUACAGAGAAUAUCAUGAAAUCCAAGAGUAAUCCAGAUAUCAUAAAAAAAGAAAAAUCAGCAGCCUCCAGGCAACUGAGAGGCAUAAGGUCAAAGUCUGUCACUGAACAGGUCUCAAUGGAUAGCUGACACUCCCAUUGCGGGUUGAUUCCCCCCCCAGUCCCCACUCCAAGAUGUGCUAGCUUGAAAGAGGGACUUACUGUGCAGGAGCGCAUGAAGCUUUUUGAGGCAAAAGAUUCCAAAAAGAUUUGAACAUCAAGAAUCUGAAGUUUCUCUUUCCUUGUCUUGGUUCCUGGUCCGAAAGAGCAACAUCAGCUGAAGACUCUCCUAGGAAAUAGAGACAAUUCUUCACAAAGGUCAAUUCUGAACAUGGACCUGCUGCUUCCAUGCCUUCGAUAAGUUGUCAUUAGUUUGAUUGAUUUUUUUUUAAUUAAUAUAAAACAGUUUUAUUGAAUAAAUCCUGUGUUAGAUCUCUUUAAAGAAUAUAUAGAUGUAUAAUCUGUCCAAACUGGAGACGUGUCAAAUAAGCUGUGAGAGGGAUUCACGACAACAUUUUUAUUGAUCCUCCAAAAUGCCAAAACAGCCAGCAGUACACAGUAUAAGUAAUAAUAUAUAUUUCCCAAUAUGAAUUAAGUAUCUGCUGUAUUUUAUUAUUGUUACAUUUUCUAUAUCUAAUGAUUUUAAAUGUGUUUAAAGUUGCACCAGUUGUGUUGUACAUAACUACCGGAUAUAUGUCAGAGUAUGGUUUGCUGUUGAUCGUUUGGGGCAUCUGCUGUAUUAUAACUAUGGUUUGACUGGUAGUGGAGAAACAAUGUGAUGCUUAACUUGCUUGUGUAUGAAAGUUUUAUAGGAAACAAAAAGAGGGAGUGUCUGUGUGUGAAGGGGGAGAUGGGGGGGUGGGGUGGGAUUGCACUUAUCACUUGACUACUUGAGGAAGCUUCUUUUUAUUUCUCCGUCUCAAAUCGGUGUUGUGGCAUUGAGUCGAUUAUUGCAGUGCAACCAAACAUCCUGACUUCUGUAGUGAGCAGCCGUGACUUGUUAGUGAUACUGGAUUUAAUUUUUUUAAUUUUUAAAAUUUCUUUAAACCUGAAUUUGUGUUUGCUUCAGUUUCGACUCAUGAUGUGAGAGGGUGUCAUCUCCUAUAAAAACCAGUUGGGACUUUGCAUGACUGUACAGAACUGCAGAAUGAUCACGUUGCCUCAUUUUCCUACGUUCACGCUUUAGUGUGGAGCUCUUUGACACUUAUUAAGCUUGGCUUUGCAAGUCCUACUGCUUAGGUGUUGAGAUUGAAAUGUUUUUACUGUAAGCGGCAGUCUUGAAGCACUUGGCCCAGUCCCUGACCUCCCACUGAAAUCUAGUCGUGCCUCAACUGAGUGAAGUCUAUAAACAUCCAUAAAACCUGUGCAGCUAUGGAUACACACUGUAUAGUAUUCAAACCACGCCUUGUAUAUAUAUAUAUGCCACACAGAGACGACUUCUGUGUUUUGUUUUAAACUUGUACCUUGCUCACUAGCUCUAUAUGAAAUAUAUAUAUAUAUAUGAAUAUUUUUUAUUUUCAUUUGAAUGUAUAACGUCAAAUAAAUGAAGUGUUUGGAAAUUC